ACACGAUGGAUGUCGAUUUUUGWCACCGGCCAGGUUGAGACCCUGCUUCGACGGGGUCUCCGUUUCCAGCUGCUGAUUCCUCCGCCCRGCCGCGUGCUCCUCCGCGGGGGGCUUUGCAGAGCCGCGAGCUGAGCCCUCGUCCUUGCAGAGCAGGAGCUGAGCAGGCAGAAACAGAGGAUUUACAAAUCUUUUUUYUGUCCUUCCUCUGCUAUCUAAACUGAAACGCAGCACUUCAUCAGCGUAUAACCCGGGCGCUGCGAGAUCCAAGAGGCAGUGAGGCAACGAGCAUCGCCGCACACAGCAUCUCCUGCGCAAUAUUUGCCAAGGGCUUGGGAGCGUUAACGAGGGAGSGGAGGGCUUUCGAAGGGCCGUCGUGCUGGAGAUCUCAGCAUCUCCGUCAGCAUCACAGCCCGUGYUUCACAGGCCAAGGAGAAGAUGAGGGAGAUGAAAUGACCGGAGCAAGGUUGCAUGGUGCCUGCUWUUCUUUGCAGGAAAGGCAGCACAGAGCAUCCACCGGGAAGGAACCCACGGGGCCUGCAGGGUUGCCCAGAUAUCCCAACUAUGUUAACUCUAAGCGGGUAAG
rnacentral:lncRNA from 1 species